CCUACGGGAGACAGCAGUGAGGAAUAUUGGUCAAUGGACGAGAGUCUGAACCAGCCAAGUCGCGUGAGGGAUGAAUGCCCUAUGGGUUGUAAACUUCUUUUAUAUGGGAAUAAAAUGUUGCACGUGUGGGAUUUUGUAUGUACCAUAUGAAUAAGGAUCGGCUAACUCCGUGCCAGCAGCCGCGGUAAUACGGAGGAUCCGAGCGUUAUCCGGAUUUAUUGGGUUUAAAGGGAGCGUAGGCGGACUUUUAAGUCAGUUGUGAAAGUUGGGGGCUCAACCCUAGAAUUGCAGUUGAAACUGGCAGUCUUGAGUACAUGAGAGGUAGGCGGAAUGCGUGGUGUAGCGGUGAAAUGCUUAGAUAUCACGAAGAACUCCGAUUGCGAAGGCAGUUCACUGGACGGUAACUGACGCUGAGGCACGAAAGCGUGGGUAUCAAACAGGAUUAGAUACCCCAGUAGUC
rnacentral:rRNA from 1 species